AUAAUUAAAGUCAUACAUAAUCUUUCAACUUAUUCACUUAUUGUCAAUUAAUUUUGGAUAAAAUUCUCACAAUGUAACACAGUAGUAGAGUAUGCUAUUCACGUGUCGGGCUUGACAGCCACGUAUAAGCUUCGUGGCCAUAACAAUGGCCUUUGGUAUUGGCCUAUCGGGCCAAGGUCAGUAGCGGAUCAUUACGAAGGUACUAUUGCGAGAGAGACAAUUGUCAAUGUUGUCAAUUACAACUGUGGCAAAAUUCAGCAGCAACCCAGAUUCGAAGCGCAGCUCAGGAGUCUUUUACCUCAAAUAACUUCAGCAUUUGGUGCAAAUAAGUCGGUUCUUGUGACAAUUGAUGAACUUAAAAAGCAGCAGCAGAGUUCAGAUGCUACUGCUAACUGGUGUGAUGAAAACUGAAUAUCGCGUUGCUAGAAGAUCGUCUUUGCGGAAUGAUUUUGCUGAAGGUGUGCGGGCAGUUUUGGUGGACAAGGAUCAGAAUCCGAAGUGGAACCCGUCAAAGUAAGAGGGAGGUGAAUCAGAGUGAAGUGGAAGCUCUCUUCGAGCCAUUGAGCCCGAACUUUGAGGAGUUGAGCAUGUGACUGACUGGCAUGUGAAAACCAAGCCAUUGAAAUAUAUUCACCGUUGUGAAAAAUAAGUUAGAUGAAACUAAAUGAGAUUUUUGUAAGUUCUAUACGAGAGCAAACACUUGGUGAUGUGGAAUGAUAAGGAGAUAAGGAUUGACACUUGUGGUAGACUUACCAGGAUUUGUGUAAGAUUUAUGGUUGUUGCUUACAUUA